rnacentral:rRNA from 1 species
UUUGAUCCUGGCUCAGGAUGAACGCUAGCGGCAGGCUUAACACAUGCAAGUCGAGGGGUAACAGGUCACUUCGGUGAUGCUGACGACCGGCGCACGGGUGAGUAACGCGUAUGGAGCCUACCUGAAACAGGGGGAUAGCUUCCGGAAACGGGGAUUAAUACCCCAUACGAUUCAUUUGUGGCCUCACAAAUGGAUAAAAGCUACGGCGGUUUCAGAUGGUCAUGCGUACCAUUAGUUAGUUGGUGAGGUAAAGGCUCACCAAGGCGAUGAUGGUUAGGGGUCCUGAGAGGGUAGUCCCCCACACUGGUACUGAGACACGGACCAGACUCCUACGGGAGGCAGCAGUGAGGAAUAUUGGUCAAUGGGCGCUAGCCUGAACCAGCCAUGCCGCGUGCAGGAAGACGGCCCUACGGGUUGUAAACUGCUUUUCUGCAGGAAGAAUAUAUAGUCUUAGGGCUAUAUUGACGGUACUGCAGGAAUAAGCAUCGGCUAACUCCGUGCCAGCAGCCGCGGUAAUACGGAGGAUGCAAGCGUUAUCCGGAUUCAUUGGGUUUAAAGGGUGCGCAGGCUGUAAAGCAAGUCAGUGGUGAAAGCCCUGGGCUUAACUCAGGGAUUGCCAUUGAAACUGUUUUACUAGAGUGUAGUAGAGGACGGCGGAAUGAGUUGUGUAGCGGUGAAAUGCAUAGAUAUAACUCAGAACACCUAUUGCGUAGGCAGCUGUCUAUACUACAACUGACGCUGAGGCACGAAAGCGUGGGGAGCGAACAGGAUUAGAUACCCUGGUAGUCCACGCUGUAAACGAUGAUCACUCGUUGUUGGCUACUUAGUGGUCAGUGACCAAGGGA